GACGAACGCUGGCGGCGUGCUUAACACAUGCAAGUCGAACGGAAAGACCCUGCUUUUGUGGGGUGCUCGAGUGGCGAACGGGUGAGUAACACGUGAGUAACCUGCCCUUGACUGUGGGAUAACUUUAGGAAACUGGGGCUAAUAUCCGGUAGAAUAUCCUGCUGCAUGGUGUGGGUUAGUAAGUUUCGGUGGUGCUGGCAGGGAUGGCGGGUUAUGCGCUUGUUGGUGGAGUAGUUGCUUACAAAGGUUUCGACGGGUAGCCGGCCUGAGAGGGUGACCGGCCACAUUGGGCCUGAGGGACGGCCCAGAAUCCAACGGGCGGCAGCGGGGGAGAAUAUUGCGGAGUGGGCGGAAGCCUGAUGCAGCAACGCCGGGUGCGGGAUGCCGGCCUUCGGGUUGUAAACCGCUUUCGACGGUGCCGAAGCGUGAGUGACGGUAAUGGGUAAGGAAGCACCGGCUAACUACGUG
rnacentral:rRNA from 1 species